GGGAGUUUGGCCGAGUGGUUAAGGCGUCGUGUUUAGGUGGUGUUGGGCUUGUCCUGGCAUACUAUAAAGCCCGCGAUGGGAAACCGCGCAGGUUCGAAUCCUGCAGCUCUCA